CACACGCCAUCAACCUCCAGACCCUCUCGCCGUGGCUUAGAGGUGUCUCUGACAACGUGGCACACUGGGAAGGCCUUCUUUCCUGCUACCAAUACAAAUGCAUUCUGAAUUUGAUAUGUCAUUAAAUGUAAAAAUACAGCCAAUUUGAAACAAGCAAAUGGAAAUUCCCAGGAACCAAAAACAGAAAGAAAAAUCAGAGCUACCGCAGUGCUGUCCCUGCAGACAGAAUUUGGGAGAGGUACUCAGAGUCACCUCCUGUGAGCCUAUGCAAGCCAGCUCCUGCACAACCCUGGUUUUAGUCCAGGUAAAGGCCCGCCCAGGUGUUUGAAUAUGGACUCCUCACAUACUUCUGCAGACUCCAGCUUUGGGUUGACCCAUCGGGGAGAGGGAACUUAGCAUGAACCCUUGUAUAAAAAUGAAAAUCUCUUUCAUUGGAAGGGAAGAUCACUGACUGGGCUAGUCUCCCAAGACCUAGGAAAGAGCUUGGCUGUCAGAGGGUGAGCUAGGGAACGAACUGUGCUUGUUGAUAUCCACAUCCAAGGCUGAUGGCCGGAGGAGGCAGUUAAGAGCAAAAGGCAAUGGACCAAACUACAUCAAAGAUGGGAUUAUAACAAAACUUUAAAAGUUGGUUUACAAUGCAGAAAAUUCAUUCUUCUGGAAACAGACUUGAAAAAAAUAAAAUAUUUACUCUACCUUUCUUGUUCAGAACCAUGCCUUAGGCCUUCUGCAGAAUUCCACAUUAAACAGGAUGAAGAAUAGGUUGUUAGCAGACUGAGGUACUUGGGGCAACAUUUCGUACACAACAGGAGGGAGAAACGACUCCAGAAAAACAAUCAGAUUUUGGUGAAACUGAUGUUUGCAAGUGUGAGUGAGCCCCAUGUGCUGAAGCUUCAGGAACCCCUGAGAUGGCACAAGUUCUGCCGUACUGGGCAACGGAUGGUCUUGAAGCACACAAGACACUGGAAGACAUGAGGGCAAUUGCUACACGCCAAGCCCGGUGCCAAGCACGUUGUGCAGGUUGUUUCGUUGAUUCCGGGCCUGGCCUUUGAGAUCUGUGGAGGAUACCAUGAACUGGCUGGCUCUGCAUCCUGCUUGCAGGCGCUGGCAAGCUGGAACCUGCUUUUCUACGCCACACUGCAGAGGGCCCUGAAUGUGAUCUAUGAUUGCAACAAGCAGCCCUGAUGCGGAUCCGGAGGGCAGGGAUGACGUGGGGGCUGCCUUUCUGGUUGACCUGCUGGUAAGCAUGGCCUCAUGGAUCUAUCACCAACAGCACCCAGUCACUUGGGGAGGCCGAGUGGCAGGGCUGGGGCAUCCAUCAGGGUUUGAUUUUGCUUAUGUGGACCGGCAGGUGCAGCACAGCUGCAUUUUAGUGCAGGGCUUCCUGAUCCUGCUGCACAGCUAACACCGUUCUUCCCGAAGGCAGCAGCUCCCCCACGGGGCUGUUUCCCCAGUUCUGGGCAUCAGUCCCAGAGGCAAAGACGGGAGCCAUCCACUCUGACUCUGCCAACAAUUCUGUGAGCACCCAGUUCUCUGUAUGAAAUUCCUUUCUGCUUUAGAUAAUUAAAAUAACUUUUCUUCCCC
rnacentral:lncRNA from 1 species